CGUCGUCUGCUGUAAGCUGUGUCUCUGCCCUCGGGAUGGUGGAGGUACCCGGUGGGAAGAGUGGUCGGGGGAGUGGCACCGUCAGCCCUGCAGGGAGACUGACCUCACGGGUCUCUUUUUGGGACCGCUGGUAUGACUUGAGUGCCUGGUACUAUCACCUCUCUUACCCGGAGGUUUUCCAGCUGCAGACUUCAGCCCCAUCUCCCUCUCCCCUGGCAGUUCCCAAUUGAGGAACCUCUCACCCCAGGGCUCCCAUGUGCUGAUAGGUGGUUCUGCUCUGGUGCUCGCCCAGCCUUGUGUGGGCUAGAACUUCGGGCUUUGGGUCCUGCUUGAACACCGGGCAUCCUGGUUGAACCCUGAGGCCCGGGGCCCUGCGCAGGGUUACAGCACUGGUGAUUUCUGCGGAGAGCGGCUGGACAGGGGUCCUCUACCACUCUCAGAGAUGCGGUAUUCCGACAAGGUGGUUUGCUCAGUAAUGGAAAGUUGACUAACACAGGUGGGGAGAAAAGUCGCCUGUGAGAAAGCAAAACCUCAGGCCCUCCUGACAUGGGAGUGAACGGAAUCUCUAGUCACCACAAGCCGUGAGCGCAAGGAAGCAGGGUCCCCCUCAUGACCAGAACCCAGAACAGUGACAACACGCAGGAGGUUCUCCAAGAGCACAUGCGGAAUGAAAGCACCAUGACCUUGACCGGUCGAAUGAGGCAGAGGGGCUGUUUCGUGGAUUCUAGAGUCUUAGGAGGUCUAUCAGCUUCUGCUUUUGCCUUCUUGGAGCCCUGAGUGACCAAGUUAAGAAGUCUGGUCAUCCACUGGGAGAGGACGGGUGGACAGAAAGGCCCUAGAGGGUGAAAGUCAUGAGAACGAGGAUGAAAGUUCUGCCAGUCCCAGACGAGUGCCCCAACUCAUGGAGGGGAAGCUGACCAUCCUACCAAGCCCUGUAGGCCACUGGCAGAUCCGGGGGCAAAUAAAGCUGUCUUUGCUUUAUGUCACUAAA